GGCUAAUGGGUGAGAAAACUAAGAGAAGACAAGUCUUAAACUAACAUUUAGCUUAAGACUUGUCAUAUGUUAUCAUUUAUACCUUUCUAAUAAAGAAAACAUCUAACAUACUUCUUAUCAUCAUAUGUUAUCAUUUAUACCUUUCUAAUAUGGAACUCCAAACAAGGCAUAGCUGUUGCAUCUCUUGACAAGGCCGACUGAAAGUUGUUUAAUAGUUGGCAUUUUGUGCUUCUAAUAGGUUUUUAAUAGUUGCCUUUUUGUUUCUUUUUGUCCAAGUAGCUUCUAUAGCCGUAGAUAUCUUUGCUUGAUCAGAAUAUUACUACAAUUUUUAUUUUCACCUAAAACUAUUGUUUAUUGUUUUCAUUCUUUGCACUUCUAGUGUUGGUUUUGCUUGAGAUCUGUUUAAAAUUUAAUAUUUAUAAGGCCAUACUGGCAACAACUGACAUUCGCUGACAAUGACAGUGAUAUAUAAAUAUGUUUUAGAUCAAAUUCUAUAGGACUUCUGUAAUACCCCGUAUUUUUUAAGUCGUUUAAUAAUUAUUAAAUAUGGAUUUUCCGAUAUAUUUUAUCAUACAAAAUAUUUAUAUGAUAAUUUUAUAUCUAUAUUUUAUGAUGAUUUUAAUUAUACGAGCCAAGUCAAAAAUUUGUCGUACCCAAAUCAAAUUCUCAACCGUUAAUAAAUUGUACCCGAUUCAAACGACAAAGUACAAAAUUCGCUAUUUAUAUACGAGUUCAACUCAUAUGUGUAGUACGCUAGUACUACACAAAAAUAUCUACUUCAAAAUAUAUAUAUAAAUAUAUAUAUAAAAAAAAAAAAAUUGAUGUCGGCAAGAGGGGGGAAAAAACCCACCCACUUGCAUGCCCACUUGCCUCCUACAAUUAAGAAUAUGGAUGGCAUAGUAUCAAGUCACUUCUAUAAGUAGCCAUGACUACCUCACUCCAUUUCAUCCUCCAAGCUCCCCUUCAUACUCCUCUCUACUACUUCCUCUUCUUACUUUCUUCCUCCUACUAGCUUCUUCCUCCUCCAUACUCACCUCCUUUUUAGCCUUCAUCCGUGGUCUUGGGCUCCUCACGAGCACCCACCUCGGUGCCACCAAACUGCCGCCACUCGACCACCGUCGUGCCGCCACCUCCUUCCUUGUUGUUGUUGACCGAGGAAUUUCGAGUUCGAAAUUAGGAGCUCCGUAACUGUGUGCAAAAAUUGAGAUAGGUGAUGGCGAUCGGACAACAUGAACUAUAUGCUGCAUUGGGAAUGAUGGGCGGUGAUCACCUAGUUUAAUUUAGUAUACAUAGUAUUAGUGGUGUAGCUACUUUGAAAGUGUAUCAAACUAUUAUUAUUACUAUUAUUAUUAAUGAAAGAUAAGUACUGUUUUUCCGCUGCAAAACUCUGUUAAGCCUUACGUAAUCACGUGGCGGUAAUACUCCCAUGUUACUCUCUAAACUUGAAUUAUUAUGGUUAAUAUUAGAGAGUAAUUUGGGGGUGUUACAACUUCCAUAAGACCAGUGUUGCUUUAUAGUACUGCUUUAUAGUACUGAAGGAGUGAACUAGUGAAGGUUACUCAAAUGUGCAUGUUAAGAUGGAUGUGUAGGAGCACUCUAAGAGAUAGAAUCAAAAGAAGAAAAAACAUUAUUUGCAAGAAAGUGGGUGUAGCAGGCAUUUUUGACAAAAUAAGGGAAAAUUGCCUUCAUUGGUUCAGAGAGUAAGACAAAGGCCCAAGGGUGCACUGGUACAAAGAGUGGAAGAGUGGGAUCAUGGAGUGCUUAAACGACGUAAAGGGAGACCGAAAAUGACUUGGUUGGAAGGAGUUAGGAAGGAUAUGAAUCAAAUGGAUUUGCAUGAGAAUGAUGUGUUUGAACGUAAGGGAUGAAAGAGGAAGAUUUUUGUUGAUGAAUAUACUAAAUAAUCACUUUUGGUUCAAUAGAAUACUGAUGGUUCAUCCUAAGUACCAAGCACAACACAACCUACAGGAAUUUCAUUGAAUAUUAGUUUAGGCAGAUUGAAAACUUCCCACUUUCUGCUAUAGGUUUACAGCAGCCAAACUCGCUGCCG